rnacentral:lncRNA from 1 species
AAAAAUUCCAUCUUCCUCCAAAUGAAUCAGCAUUCAUUUCUUAGCACAGAAAUUGAAUUCAGCCGUGACACCUCAUCAAGAGCAAUGCCUGCUGCACCUUCUCUAAUUAAAAUUCACGCCUCUUCUUCAAAGAAAAUGAAUGCCAGCGUCAAAUAAAAAAUAAAAAAAAAAAGCAAGCAAAUAUUAAAAUUAGCGCCGUGCUCUUCAAAUAAAAAGUGAAUCAGCCACCUAAGAUUAAGAAAAAAAAAACGAAAUCAACUCUUCAAGAAGUUGACGUGACCGUGUUGCACCAGCUCUUCCAAAGUGGUCUCUUGAAUACGUUCCAGC